GACGAACGCUGGCGGCGUGCUUAACACAUGCAAGUCGAACGGAAAGGCCCCGCUUUUGUUGGGUGCUCGAUUGGCGAACGGGUGAGUAACACGUGAGUAACCUGCCCUUGACUUUGUGAUAACUUCAGGAAACUGGGGCUAAUAUCGGAUAGGAGCUCCUGCUGCAUGGUGUGGGUUGGAAAGUUUCGGCGUUGGGGGAUUGACUCGCGGCUUAUCAGCUUGUUGGUGGGGUAGUGGCUUACCAAGGCUUUGACGGGUAGCCGGCCUGAGAGGGUGACCGGCCACAUUGGGACUGAGAUACGGCCCAGACUCCUACGGGAGGCAGCAGUGGGGAAUAUUGCACAAUGGGCGGAAGCCUGAUGCAGCAACGCCGCGUGCGGGAUGACGGCCUUCGGGUUGUAAACCGCUUUCGCCUGUGACGAAGCGUGAGUGACGGUAAUGGGUAAAGAAGCACCGGCUAACUACGUG
rnacentral:rRNA from 1 species